rnacentral:rRNA from 1 species
UACGUAGGUGGCAAGCGUUGUUCGGAGUUACUGGGCGUAAAGGGUGUGUAGGCGGUUGUUUAAGUUUGGUGUGAAAUCUCCCGGCUCAACUGGGAGGGUGCGCCGAAUACUGAAUGACUUCGAGUGCGGGAGAGGAAAGUGGAAUUCCUGGUGUAGCGGUGAAAUGCGUAGAUAUCAGGAGGAACACCGGUGGUGUAGACGGCUUUCUGGACCGUAACUGACGCUGAGACACGAAAGCGUGGGUAGCAAACAGG